AAAAAUACAAAGAAAUAAAAGUGAAACAAAAAAUAUAAGAAUAAAAUACUUGGUGCCCCGAUCCGUGCGUGUCGAUGUGUGAGUGCUAAAACUGGUUAAUGGCAGGGCCGCGAAAAAUCCCCCAUUAAGCCAGCCAGCCGCAGAGCCCCACAAAAGGUGCCCCCCAGUCCCAAAAAUAGAGCAUACUGCCACAAGAGUUACGUGAAAAUCCCCGCUCUAACCACCACCAACAACAACAACAAAAACAACAAAAAGAGAAUCUGUUGAUUCCCCCUGCAACCACAUUGGAUCCCAGUCGCUGCAUAUAAUGUCCUCAAAAUGUGCUUUCAACAUUGCAUUCGUGUCGAUCAUUUUCAUCAUCAUCGUAAAUGGUUACGCAAAAGAUAUUUCUGGAGUUAAAAGAGGUCAUGAACGACUUAACGAAUACAUAUCCCACUACGAAACACUCGACUAUGAUCACGAGCACAUCCGAGCUAGUCACAACAGGGCGCGACGAUCAGUGACCAAAGAUCAUUAUGUACAUUUAAAGUUUGCAGCACAUGGAAGAGACUUCCAUCUUAGAUUAAAACGUGAUUUAAAUACAUUUAGCGAUAAGUUAGACUUUUAUGAUAGCAACGGCCCCAUUGAUGUCUCCACGGAUCAUAUCUAUGCGGGCGAAGUGAUAGGGGAUCGUAAUAGUUAUGUAUUUGGUUCCAUACACAAUGGGGUAUUCGAGGGUAAAAUUAUAACGGAACGUGAUGCCUAUUAUGUUGAACAUGCCAAACAUUAUUUUCACAUAAAUCGCACUGCGAUUUCAUCAUCCACAACGGAGUCGUUCACAGUCACACCAAGGAGCAGGAGCAGCACCGGCACCGGCACCAGCACCAGUACAGGAGCACGGCCUCUGGCCUCUCGUAACUCUAACAAAUACACAAAUAACUAUAGCAACAACAAUAACAACAGUAACAACAACAACAGAACUGCCGUUGAUAAUAAGACAGAAAACUUCAUAAAGAAAAUUGCUGAAUCCACAACGACGACAACGACAACGACGACGACAGUGGCGCCCCCUGAGCUGUCUGAGGAGUCAACAACAACUGCAACAACAUUCCCACCCACAACAACGGAACAACACGUCGAGGAGCAGCCGCAGCAGCAGCAGGAUAAUGCCGAGGACGAACUUGAUUUUCACUCCAUUAUCUACAAGGAGUCACAUGUUGAGGAUGCCUACGAGAAUGUGCGCGAAGGUCACGUGGGCGGCUGCGGCAUCACGGACGAGGUCUCACAAUGGAUGGAGAAUAUACAAAAUUCAGCUGUCGAAGAGCUGCCCGAGCCCAUGUCAAAGGACUACCAAAAGCUCCACCGGAAGCAGCUGCACAAAAAGUCCGCUCCACAGCAUCAGCAGCAGCAGCAACAGCAGCAGCAUCCACCGAAGAAAUACAUGAGCGGCGAGGACGAUUUCAAAUUCCCCCAUCAGAAAUACUCGAAGGAGGCCAACUUUGCUGACGGUGCAUUCUACGAUCCGUCCACUGGACGUCGCCUGGGCUCGUCCGCCAAUGUGGCCGAUUGGCAUGAGUUCGUCCAUGAGCGGGUGCGUCGGGCCAGCGAUGGCGGUGCCGGCUCUUCCGGCGGCUCGGGACCGGCAAGAGGUCGCGAGGACAACAAGAAUACCUGUUCGCUCUACAUACAAACGGAUCCAUUGAUUUGGCGCCACAUACGCGAGGGAAUUGCCGACCAUGAUCGUGGUCGAAAGUAUGAGGUGGACGUGAAAACGCGCGAGGAAAUCACAUCGCUGAUUGCACAUCAUGUGACGGCCGUUAAUUACAUUUACCGCAACACAAAGUUCGACGGACGGACCGAGCAUCGGAACAUACGCUUUGAGGUGCAACGCAUUAAAAUCGACGAUGAUUCCGCCUGUCGCAACUCGUACAACGGGCCCCACAACGCCUUCUGCAAUGAGCACAUGGAUGUGUCCAAUUUCUUGAAUCUCCACUCGCUGGAGGAUCACUCGGACUUCUGUCUGGCCUAUGUCUUCACCUACAGAGACUUUACUGGCGGCACUUUGGGUCUGGCGUGGGUGGCCAGCGCAUCGGGCGCCUCUGGCGGCAUCUGUGAGAAGUACAAGACCUACACGGAGACGGUGGGGGGACAGUACCAGAGCACCAAGCGAUCCCUAAACACGGGCAUCAUCACCUUCGUCAACUACAACAGUCGGGUGCCGCCCAAAGUGUCACAGCUGACAUUGGCCCACGAGAUUGGGCAUAAUUUUGGAUCACCUCACGACUACCCGCAGGAAUGCCGUCCGGGCGGUCUGAAUGGCAACUUCAUUAUGUUCGCCAGCGCCACCUCUGGGGAUCGGCCCAACAACUCCAAGUUCUCACCCUGCUCCAUUCGGAAUAUAUCCAAUGUGCUGGAUGUGCUGGUGGGCAACACGAAGCGGGACUGCUUCAAGGCCUCGGAGGGCGCCUUCUGCGGCAACAAGAUCGUGGAGUCCGGCGAGGAGUGCGACUGCGGCUUCAACGAGGAGGAGUGCAAGGACAACUGCUGCUAUCCGCGACUGAUCAGCGAGUACGACCAGUCACUGAACUCCAGUGCCAAGGGCUGCACCCGCCGUGCCAAGACGGAGUGCUCGCCGUCGCAGGGCCCCUGCUGUCUGGCCAACUCGUGCACCUUUGUGCCGACGCGCUACCACCAGAAGUGCAAGGAGGAGACCGAGUGCAGCUGGUCGAGCACCUGCAACGGCACCACGGCCGAGUGCCCGGAGCCCCGGCAUCGGGAUGACAAGACGAUGUGCAACAAUGGCACCGCACUGUGCAUCCGCGGCGAGUGCAGCGGCUCGCCGUGCCUGCUCUGGAACAUGACCAAGUGCUUCCUCACCUCGUUCACGCUGCCGCACGCCGACAAGCGAAAGCUGUGCGACCUGGCCUGCCAGGAUGGCAACGACACCGCCACCUGUCGCAGCACCAGCGAGUUUGCCGAGAAGUACAACAUCCAGAAGGGCGGCAUCAGCCUGCAGCCCGGCUCGCCCUGCGACAACUUCCAGGGCUACUGCGAUGUCUUUCUCAAGUGUCGCGCCGUCGAUGCGGACGGGCCGCUGGUGCGGCUGAAGAAUCUGCUGCUGAAUCGCGAGACCCUCCUGACGGUGGCCGAAUGGGUCACCGAGAACUGGUACUUGGUGGUGCUACUGGGCGUCGGCUUCAUUGUGGUCAUGGGCGCGUUCAUCAAGUGCUGUGCCGUGCACACGCCCAGCUCCAAUCCUAAGAAGCGACGUGCUCGUCGCAUCAGCGAAACGCUCAGGGCCCCCAUGAACACGCUGCGAAGAAUGCAGCGACAUCCACAUCAGCGUGGAGCCGGGCCACGCAGCAUCCCACCGCCGGCCCACGAGGCCCAGCACUAUCCAAGAGGUGGCGAUGGACGCGGCGGAGGCGGCGGUGGUCGCCACGUAGGCUCUCGAUCGCACCACCAGGCGCAUCCGCAUGACUGGGAUCGGCAUCAGGGCGGCCAUUCGAUUGUGCCGCUGCCCACAGGCGGCGGUCAUGCCAGUCGCAGCUCUGCCGCGAAUCAGACGCGACGCAGCGAUGGACGCGGCACCCGCUCCACGAGCAGCGGCAGGCCCGUCGCAGCGUCAGCUUCAGCAGCAGCAGCGGCAGUAGGCGGAGCUGGAGGAAGCCGGGCACAUGGCGGGUAUGGAGCUGAGCAGGCGAUACCGGGUUCCAUUGGUGGUGGUGUGCAGGCGGCCAUUAGCAGCGGCGGUGUGGUGGCGCGGGCCCAGCUGCCGCUGCCUUUGCCGCCGGCCAAUGCACUGCAGCAGCAACAACAACAACAGCAAGCACUCUCACCGCAACAGCCACUGCCAGCGUUCUAUGCGCCGAAAGACUUACCACCACGCAAUAAGUCCCGCUCAUCACGUACCAACAACACCAACAACACCUCCACCACAUCCACCGCGGCAGCCGGCACAGGGGCGGGUGCGGGUGCGGGGGCGGCCAGUAGUGGCAAGAGCAGCAGUAAGGGCAGCAAGAGUGCCAAAGCCAAAGACACAAAGCAACACAGCGGCAGUCGCAGCAGCAGCAAAGAGAAGGCCGCCAAGCCAGUGCGCCGCAAUAUCGUUUACUAGCGCGGAAAGAGCGGAGCGGAGCGGAGCGGAACACACGAUCACACGGCCAUAAACUGAAGACAUACAUUUAAACCCAGAAAGACAGAUCCGAUCCGAUCCGAUCAGCUCGGCUCGGCUCGGCUCAGAUCCCGAACCCAACGAAUGCUCGCCCGUGCGCUUUUUCAACAUCCACCCAACCCCCACAGUCAUCGAUCCAUCAGCCGUUGCCUCCCCACCACUUUAAACCAUAAAUGAUACAAACAUUUUGACAGAAUCAAUUGCCGUCGCGCCGCCGCUGCUACAAGUAAGCUUUAGUCGGCCGACAUCGCUGCACGAA